UUUUUGUCAUUUUAACAAGCACUGCUGAAUAAAAAAGAAAAUUCAAUAGCCUGACAUAUUUCAAAAUAUUGUUGCCAUGCCUUGUGGCUAUGUGGAAUCAAAACCGGACACACAAAGUUUAAUCCUUGCCGGAGCGUUAUGUCGCUCUUUAACUUCCUAAAACAUCUCAUAUCGGCCUCCUCUGUCUAAUUAUACAGCUCAAUACUGGCUAAAUGGCUCAAUAAGAUGACCAGCUCUGGCAGGGAGGAAGGCAAGUGUGAGGAUUAAUGAGUGUCUGGCACUGAUGAAACAUCCAUCCUUGCUUUGGCCCAAGGCAAAGUAUUAAGUGAAGACUGUUGGAAGUAAACAUGACAACAGUGUUGGAAAGACUUUGUCUUGAUCUUUGAGUGAAGCUACGCUCUUUCGACACAGAGGUCAGUCCUGCUGUGCGAAAGCGCACCGAGCAAGUUCGAAGACGGGGAAACGUAGACGUAAGCGACAGAAAUGGAAGAGAAAGGGAGACUUUCUGUGUAUAUGUGAGGGAUGGGAUAGUGUGUGUUGGUGUGACUGUGUGUGAGUUUGUGCAUGUGUGAGCCAUUGGUGUUGUUGAUAAUGACAGGCUGUCACUGCAGAGCAACGUGAAGCCUGAGCCAACUCUGAUAUUAAUCCAUUACCUGAGUGUUCCUCAGAUCACACUCCAAUGGAUGAACACACACGCACACACACCCACGCACGCGUUCACGCACAGGCACGGUGAAAGCUCAGAGGGACAUUAUUAACGGGAUUCAGUACAUGUAGAAAAGACUUCCUACAGCAAAAGAAAAAAAAUGGAUUUGAAACAGAAAUAUUUGAGUAUGCAAACAUUUGGAUGUUUUUUAGAGUAGUAUUUUUACAAUGAGCGCUCACACACAACUAACCAGUGAGAGGGUUUAAAACACAAGAAGCAGCUGCUCUGUGUUGGACCCUUCCUGAGUGUCUCAUUCAAAAUAUCAUACUUAAGAUCAGAAAACUUGUACAAUCUGUGUUGGCAUGCUUGUGGCUACGAUGAUUGAAACCCCGCAGCAUCAAAGCCUGACUCAGUCUACACACUUUACCAGUGGGACUGUUGUCCAACUGCCUCUGACAGAUGACAUGGAAAUCAAUCUGAGUGAUGGAAAGUUUCAAACACAAAAGAAUCUAAAAUCUGACAUAUAUAUAUAUAUAUAUAUAGGUAUAUAUAUAUAUAUAUAUAUAAAUCUGAAA